AUGGGGAGCCAUUUAUGGCGAAGUAUCUGAUUCCACACUGCCAAGAAAAGCCUCUAUCGAGUGAAUAGGUGCCCGUACCGCAAACCGACACAGGUAGGUGAGGAGAGAAUCCUAAGGCCAUCGGAAGAAUUGCUGUUAAGGAACUCGGCAAAUUGACCCCGUAACUUCGGGAGAAGGGGUGCCUACGAAAGUAGGCCGCAGAGAAUAGGCCCAAGCAACUGUUUAGCAAAAACACAGGUCUCUGCUAAAGCGAAAGCUGAUGUAUAGGGGCUGACGCCUGCCCGGUGCUGGAAGGUUAAGGGGAACACUUAGCGUAAGCGAAGGUGUGAACUUAAGCCCCAGUAAACGGCGGCCGUAACUAUAACGGUCCUAAGGUAGCGAAAUUCCUUGUCGGGUAAGUUCCGACCCGCACGAAUGGCGUAAUGAUUUGGGCACUGUCUCAACAGCAAAUCCGGCGAAAUUGUAGUGCAAGUGAAGAUGCUUGCUACCCGCGAUUGGACGGAAAG
rnacentral:rRNA from 1 species